UGUUCCCAAGUCAGGCAUGAAUAUCCGCUGAAUUUAAGCAUAUCACUAAGCGAAGGAAAAGAAACUUACCAGGAUUCCCCUAGUAACGGCGAGCAAACUGGGAAGAGCCCAGCAUGAAAAUCGGCAGCUCCACCUGCCGAAUUGUAGUUUGUAGAAGCAUCCUCAAUGAUAGACCAGGCCCAAGUCCCCUGGAAGGGGGUGCCAGAGAGGGUGAGAGCCUCAUUGGGCUUGGUCCCUGCCAUACCAUGAUGCGCUUUCGGUGAGUCAGGUUGUUUGGGAAUGCAGCCCUAAUCGGGUGGUAAAUUCUGUGCAAGGCUAAAUACGGGUGAGAGACUGAUAGCGAACAAGUACUACGAGGGAAAGAUGAAAAGGACUUUGAAAAGAAAGUUAAAGAGUGCUUGAAAUUGCUAGGAGGGAAGCAUAUGGAGGUCAGUGAUGCACCCUGGUCAAAUGCAAAAUGGUGUCAGUCGGUCAAUCGCUCAACUUGGGGGCGUGCCAGCAUGGGCUAUUGUAGUAGCACAAGCGCAGCCUUCUGGUCACACUGUACCUCCAUGGUGGCAAUCUAGGAGCGAAGUGCGUGCCUACCAGGAUGGGCCCUCGAGCACCUACGCGCUGGCCAACAGUCUUUCCAUCUAACCUAUCUUGAAACACGAACCAAGGAGUCUAAUGUAUGUGUGAGUCGGUGGGUUGGGAAACCUGUGAGGCACAAGGAAGUUGACUGGUGAGAUCUCCUCUCGAGAGGUGCACCGUCGACUGACCCUGAUCUUUUGUGAGGGGUUUGAGUGUGAGCACACCUAUUGGGACCCAAAAAAUGGUGAAUUAUUCCUAAGCAGGGCGAAGCUAGAGGAAACUCUGGUGGAGGCCCACAACGAUACUGACAUGCAAAUCAUUCGUCUGACUUGGGUAUAGGUGCGAAAGACUAAUAGAAUCGUCUAGUAGCAGGUUACCUCCAAAGUUUCCCUCAAGAUAGCUAGAGCUCAUGUGCGAGUUUUAUCAGGUAAAUAAAAUGAUUAGAGGCAUCAGGGGCGUAACGCCCUAGACCCAUUCUCAAACUUUAAAUAGGUAAGGCGACGUGGUUGCUUCGUUGAUCCAUGCCACAUAAUCAUGAGCUCCAAGUGGGCCAUUCUUGGUAAGCAGAACUAGCGAUGCGGGAUGAACCGAAAGCCAAGUUACGGUGCCAAAUUGCGCGCUAACCCAGAUCCCACAAAGGGUGUUGGUUGAUUAAGACAGUAGGAUGGUGGUCAUGGAAGUCAAAAUUUGCUAAUGAGUGUGUAACAAAUCACCUGCUGAAUCAACUAGCCCCAAAAAUGGAUGGUGCUGAAGUGUGCAACCUAUACUCAACCAUCGGGGAAAGUGCUAAGCUCUGAUGACUAGGAUGACGCGAGGGUUGUUGUGAAACCUUGGGCGUGAGCCUGGGUGGACCGACCCUCAGUGUAGAUCUUGGUGGUAGUAGUAAAUAUUCAAAUGAGAACUUUGAAGACUGAAGUGGAGAAAGAUUCCAUGCGAACAACACUUGGACAUGGGUUAGUCGAUCCUAAGAGAUGGGGAAACCCUAUUUCAAGGGCGCACUUUGCACGAUCAUCAAAAGGGAAUCAGGCUAAUAUUCCUGAAUCAAGAUGUGGCAACAGACGACAAUGUUAGAAAUUCCAGAGAUGUCAGCGAGGGCCCUGGGAAGAGUUAUCAUUUAUUUUUAACAACCUUCCCACCCUGAAAUUGGUUCAACUGGAGAUAGGGUCCAUUGGCUGGAAGAGCACUGCACGUCUCGUGGUGUCUGGUGCGCCUUCAGCAACCCUUGAAAAUCUAGAGGACCGAGUAGCAUUCAUGCCUGGUCGUACUCAUAACUGCAUUAGGUCUCCAAGGUGAACAACAUCUGGUCAAUAGAACAAUUUAGGUAAGGGAAGUCGGCAAAAUGUAUCUGUGCCCCGAACCCAUGGGUUGUUGGCGGCCUUCUUGAGCUUCUACCAUGGUGAGGGUGGGCCAUCAUGUGUCAAUCAAGAAACGUAUGUAGGGCUCCCUUCGGGGGGCUUUUCCUAGGCAAUGAACAACUAACUUAGAACUGGUAUGGACAAGGGGAAUCCAUCUAUUUAAUUAAAACAAAGCAUUGCAAUGGUCCCUGCGGAUGCUGACACAAUGUGAUUUCUGCCCAGUUCUCUGAAUGUCAAAGUGAAGAAAUUCAACCAAGCAUGGGUAAAUGGUGAGAGUAACUAUGACUCACUUAAGGUAGCCAAAUGCAUCAUCAUCUAAGUAGUGACGCACAUGAAAUGAUUAAUGAGAUUCCCACUUUCCCUAUCUACUAUCUAACGAAACCACAACCAGGGGAAUAGGCUUGGCGAAAUUAGUAGGGAAUGAAGACCCUGUUGAGCUUGACUCUAGUCCAACUUUGUGAAAUGACUUGAGAGGUGUAGAAUAAGUGGGAUCCAUUUCAGUGCAAGUGAAAUACCACUACUUUUAACAUUAUUUUACUUAUUCCAUGAGGCAGAGAUGGGGCAAUUCCCCUAUUUUGGCCUUAAGGUGCGUCUAGGUGUGCCAAUCCAGGCAGAAGAUAUUAUCCGGUGGAGAAUUUGGCUGGGGCGACACAUCUGUUAAAAGAUAAUGCAAGUGUCCUAAGAUGAGCUCAACGAGAACAUAAAUCUUGUGUGGAACAAAAGGGUAAAAGAUCAUUUCAUUUUCAUUUUCAGUACAAAUACAAACUGUGAAAGUGUGGCCUAUCGAUCCUUUAGACUUUCAGAAUUUGAAGCUAUAGGUAUUAUAAAAGUUACCAUAGGGAUAACUGGCUUGUGCCAGCCAAGCGUUCAUAGUGACAUUGCUUUUUGAUCCUUCGAUGUCAGCUCUUCCUAUCAUUGUGAAGCGAAAUUCACCAAGUGUUGGAUUGUUCACCCAACAAUAGGGAACAUGAGCUGGGUUUAGACCAUCGUUAGACAGGUUAGUUUUACCCUACUGAUGAUCUGCACCAUGAUAGUAAUUCAACUUAGUACUAGAGGAACCGUCGAUUCACACAUUUGGUCAUCGCGCUUGGUUGAAAAUCCAAUGGCACGAAGCUACCAUGUGUUGGAUUAUGACUGAAAGCCUCUAAAUCAUUAUCCAUGCUAGAUGUGGUGCAUCUUUCUCUCCGGCAGCAUCGCGACUUGUAGUAGGGGUGCUCUUGCACCCCCAGGGGCUCGUGUCAUUGGCUACCUUUGAUCGACACAAUCGCCUGGUUGGAGUAACCUUGGAUAACAAUUUCAAGUUGUUGGCGAGAAGAACCUUUUGCAGAAGACUUAAAUAAGUGACAGGGUAUUGUAAGUGGUAGAGUGGCCUUGCUACCAUGAUCCACUGAGAUUUAGCCCUCUAUUUCCUUGAUUCAU